AAAUUGAAGAGUUUGAUCAUGGCUCAGAUUGAACGCUGGCGGCAGGCCUAACACAUGCAAGUCGAACGGUAACAGGAAACAGCUUGCUG
rnacentral:rRNA from 8 species